UUGCGUCGUCUUGUAGGCAAAGAUGCUGCCGGCCAGAUCCAUCUGGCUCAGCAGCCAGCCACCGAAGAUGUCGCCGUUCUGGUUGGUGUCAGCCGGCAUCGCAAGCGUGCGGAUGGAGAGUUCACCCUCUGGUGCGGUGGGCGCGGGCGCGGCGUGAACGGGCGUAUUUGCCAUCGAUGAAAUCCGUCAAAUAAAGCCGAACGAAAAUAUGUCUCAGGCGAACGUAUCCCACCCAGCAUCCGGUUUAAAGCGCUCGCCGAAUUUCGCUUCGAGCAUCU
rnacentral:misc_RNA from 1 species